AAAUUGAAGAGUUUGAUCAUGGCUCAGAUUGAACGCUGGCGGCAGGCCUAACACAUGCAAGUCGAACGGUAACAGGAAGUAGCUUGCUGCUUCGCUGACGAGUGGCGGACGGGUGAGUAAUGUCUGGGAAACUGCCUGAUGGAG
rnacentral:rRNA from 1 species